UAUCAUACUUCCCGAUCCUUCUGCCACCGCUCACUUUAUAUUCCUAGGUGCUCCACCGUCUUCCUUUUAUCUCUGCUCCAAAUUCCAUCACCAUCACCUUCCUACACCGUCAUCAUGACUGGAAUGUUAUGUUCUGCUCCCACUUCGAUGUUCCCCACCGCUCCCCAUUUUAUCAUCCACAUCCAUUAUUCGCUGCUUUAUCACUUCCCGAUCUACCGCCGUACAUACUGUCCCUUCUUUUGCUUCCCCACUCAUCGACAUUUUUUUCUCCCUUCAACAUCAGAUGAACCCUAUUCGGUUCACCGUGAGCAAUUGGUAUUUGAUUUCUCCCGCUAAUCGAAUCAAUUGAUGCCUCAAAGAGCUACAGACAGAAUGAGGUCGAAAGUGGUGACGGCAGCAGAUGUGUCAUCGUUGUUGCCGGCCAGUGACGGCAUCGCGGGCAGUCAGGAAUGGCCAUCGUCUGCCUCUCCAUCUCCACUCUCAACUGAAUUGGCAUCGAUUCCAAGUAUGUCGGUGACGCUACACCGUUCGAACACGAUUGGUGACGGAUCGACACCACCUUAGUACUUGUCUUUCAAGAAAACCCUCUUUUUCUAAUGAAGAUCGUUUCCACCUUUGCUUCAUCCUCGGUGUCUUCUCAGUUGCGAUUGAAUCAGUAUGCGCUGUAUAGUUGCUGAGACUGAUUGAUAUUCCUCAGAGGGUAUGUUUCUAUGAUACAUCUUACAUCUGGUACCUUCCUUUCUCUCCUACAAAUAGUUUUUCAAUUGAAUUGCACUUUUUAUAUCCAUUUGUUAUGUAUAGGAAUCCAUGGUUUCUACUUUCUUUUAUAUGUUUAUAAGCUCCUGUAAUUGAUUGGUUAUGUUCUUACAUCGUUUACAAUUUUUCUUGUCUGGUUGUAUAAGGUUGCGUUUUCAGUCAAAUUCAUGUCAGUGUCGUUCUUUCAACUUUAAUUGGUGGUUCAAGUCAUAAUUUUGGUUUUCAUGGAUGCAGGAUGGUAGGUAAGCACAAUCAUCAAAUGAUCAGAUUACAUACACAUAAACUUCAAAUAUUUUCCACUUUUCUCCGUCAUCCUUAAUUGAAUUGGUCAAUUAAUUUUUAAUGCUAUUGCAAGAACCCACUUUUAGUUCUUGAUUGUUUGCAUCAUAUAGGUUUGAAUGUUGUAUGCACAAGAACAGUUACCUAAAUUACCUAUAUAGGUUUGUUAGUUGAUUCGUUUUGUUUAUUUUUGCUUUACUAAGGGAUCUUGGAAUUGCCUAUAUAUUUUCUCACUCUGGGGUAGGUAUGUUUUCAAUCCUUGUGUCACACAUAGUGGAUGCAAGUUCAUGUUUCUAAACUUACUGGAACAACAGAGUAAAAAUUGAAAACAUUUUUUUAUAGUACAACUCUAAUUACAGGUUCCAUAUAAUAUCCCUCAUUUAUUAUUUUACCUUCAAAAUGUUUCAACUAUAAUUAAUUUUGAUGGUAUUUGUGUACAAAGUAACAUCUUUAUAACAAUUUGAUAUUUCAGGGUAUUACAGAUAGAAAUGGGUUGAAUACAUGCGGUGUUUGUAUUUAUAAAGAAAGUAUUAGUCAACUGUUUGUUUUUAUUGAUUAUCUUAGUGCUAUGGUUGAUUUUUUGAUUUGUUGAGGAUUAUGUUGCUUGCUUUCAUUAAGUUUUCCUUUUUCAGUUUAUAGCUAACAUGUUUUCUAGUAAUAUUUCUAAAAUGAACUUGCUCAAAUAUUGUGUACUUGUACUUCUACUUGCUAAUUUUGCAAUUUGA